rnacentral:rRNA from 1 species
UACGGAGGGUCCAAGCGUUAUCCGGAAUCAUUGGGUUUAAAGGGUCCGUAGGCGGUUUUGUAAGUCAGUGGUGAAAGCCCAUCGCUCAACGGUGGAACGGCCAUUGAUACUGCAAGACUUGAAUUAUUAGGAAGUAACUAGAAUAUGUAGUGUAGCGGUGAAAUGCUUAGAGAUUACAUGGAAUACCAAUUGCGAAGGCAGGUUACUACUAAUGGAUUGACGCUGAUGGACGAAAAGCGUGGGGGAGCGAACAGG